rnacentral:rRNA from 1 species
UACGGAGGGUGCAAGCGUUAUCCGGAUUUACUGGGUUUAAAGGGUGCGUAGGCGGCCGACUAAGUAGGGUGUGAAAUGCCAGAGCUCAACUUUGGCAUUGCGCUCUAGACUGGUUGGCUUGAGUGAGAUAGGGGUGUGCGGAACUUCCAGUGGAGCGGUGAAAUGUGUUGAUAUUGGAAGGAACGCCGGUGGCGAAAGCGGCACACUGGGUCUUAACUGACGCUGAGGCACGAAAGCCAGGGGAGCGAACGGG